rnacentral:rRNA from 1 species
AACGAACGCUGGCGGCAGGCCUAACACAUGCAAGUCGAGCGCGCCCUUCGGGGUGAGCGGCGGACGGGUGAGUAACGCGUGGGAACGUGCCCUUUGGUACGGAAUAGCCCCGGGAAACUGGGAGUAAUACCGUAUGUUGUCUUCGGACUAAAGAUUUAUCGCCAAGGGAUCGGCCCGAGUAGGAUUAGCUAGUUGGUGGGGUAAAGGCCUACCAAGGCGACGAUCCUUAGCUGGUCUGAGAGGAUGAUCAGCCACACUGGGACUGAGACACGGCCCAGACUCCUACGGGAGGCAGCAGUGGGGAAUAUUGGACAAUGGGCGAAAGCCUGAUCCAGCAAUGCCGCGUGAGUGAUGAAGGCCUUAGGGUUGUAAAGCUCUUUUACCAGGGAUGAUAAUGGCAGUACCUGGAGAAUAAGCUCCGGCUAACUCCGUGCCAGCAGCCGCGGUAACAC